GACGGAGGAUGCAAGUGUUAUCCGGAAUCACUGGGCGUAAAGCGUCUGUAGGUGGUUAAAAAGUCUACUGUUAAAGCUUAGAAGCUUAACUUCAAAAUGCCGUUAGAAACUUUAAACUUGAGUAGUGGUAGGGGUAAGAUGGGAAUUCCAGUGGAGGCGGUGAAAUGCGUAGAUCUUGGAAAGACCACCAAUGGCGAAGGCACUCUACUGGGCCAUGACUGACACUAAGAGACGAAAGCUAGGGGAGCGAAUGGG
rnacentral:rRNA from 1 species